rnacentral:rRNA from 1 species
GAUGAACGCUGGCGGCGUGCCUAAUACAUGCAAGUCGAGCGAACAGAUGAGGAGCUUGCUCCUCUGACGUUAGCGGCGGACGGGUGAGUAACACGUGGAUAACCUACCUAUAAGACUGGGAUAACUUCGGGAAACCGGAGCUAAUACCGGAUAAUAUAUUGAACCGCAUGGUUCAAUAGUGAAAGACGGUUUUGCUGUCACUUAUAGAUGGAUCCGCGCCGCAUUAGCUAGUUGGUAAGGUAACGGCUUACCAAGGCAACGAUGCGUAGCCGACCUGAGAGGGUGAUCGGCCACACUGGAACUGAGACACGGUCCAGACUCCCACGGGAGGCAGCAGUAGAGAAUCUUCCGCAAUGGGCGAAAGCCUGACGGAGCAACGCCGCGUGAGUGAUGAAGGUCUUCGGAUCGUAAAACUCUGUUAUUAGGGAAGAACAAAUGUGUAAGUAACUAUGCACGUCUUGACGGUACCUAAUCAGAAAGCCACGGCUAACUACGUG